rnacentral:lncRNA from 1 species
ACACAUGACCUCUGUCCUUCCAGCUGCCACCAGUUUCUGGGUUGUCGAGUGAUACCCUGAAAGUUUACAGUCAACACUCCUUGUGUGGGGUCAGUCCUAGAAAUGGCGACGCUGCUCUCCGAAGAUAGGAAAGAAAAGGACCUCAUUCCAUUGAGCCAUUGACCGAAAUAUUUUCUCAACAAAGUUGAACUGAGCUGAAACUGUGUGAAUCAUGGCAAUACAGUGAAAGACAGUGAUUUACUGCUUUUGAGGGCGUGCAUGUAUAUGAUUAACGGAUGGAAGUGCAGGACUCCAAGAUUUACUUCCUUCCCUUUCCAGCAGAAUUACCUGAGACGAGUAAAAUCUACUGGUGGAGUCACUCCAUUAUUCUUAUCUGUGGAGAUCUAGAUCUUGAUUUGAAAGUUUCUGAGAAAAUCUUCAGCUCAGACUUGAGGGUCAACUUUACCAGCUGAAGGAUCUGCAUUUACUGCUCAACCACAUCUAAUUUGAUGUCCUCUGCAGAUUUAAAAUGUGUGCCUUCUUUUCCGUCACCAAGUCAUCCCUGGGUUACUACUGAACAUCCUUCUCAAUUCCCCCCGACCCAUGGAUGGCUGUUCUCCAUUGUCUGUUUCACCAGAUGUCCUCAAAACAAACAGACAGAAGAAGGAAGUGGCUAAUGGAGCUGUGGAGUCCAAGUGUGACUGCCAAGAGGAAUCCAGCAAAGCCAAAAAGCCCAAGCAUGUAGCCCUGCCCGAAGCACGCCACACGCAUGGAAAACCCAGAGGAAAUGAGUGAGGAUCAAUGGGAAGAAGAGAGCCAGCCAGGUUCGAUGCCUUCUCCAUCCGUCAGUGAGGGUGUGGAGAGCCUGCAGGCGUGUGCCUCCCUCUGUAACUUGCUAUUCCUUGUGUAAUGUCAAGUGGAAGUGUGAAGCACCACAAACUGCUCUGAGCAGAGCCCACUUCCCUUCACCCACGGAGAGCGUGAAGCAGUUACACCAACAUCAAUCAAGGAAAACCCACAGGCUGAGCUCACACGGUUGAAGCAGGAAGUUGAAGAUUUGUCCAGGAGCAGAUAGCUGAAGAGAGAGAGAGAGAAGAGAGAACGGCUUACAGCUCAGGUCCUCUCUCCAUGCUUAGGAACCACUACAAAUGCUACUGCCUUGAGUCUCAUUUUGUUUCCCUCUGGAAACCACAUGUGUACCUUGUUUGCAACAGUAUGGGCUCACAGGCAGAAGGAAUUUUCCUUGUCUUGGAUGAGACUUUUGACUUGGACUUUUGGGUUAAGGAUUUACAGAAAGCGUGGUGCUGGCAUCUGAUCAGCUUCUGGGGUGGCCUCAGGAAGCUUACAAUCAUGGUGGCAUUUGAAGUGGAAGCGAGAGAGAGAAGAGGAGAUGCAACACACUUUUAAACAAGAUUUCAGGAGAACUCAUUCACUAUGUUCUGGAGACCAGAAGGCCAAAAUCAAAAGUAUGGGCAGGCUUGAUUUCUUUAGAAGACUCCAGCGGAGAACUGUGUCUCCUUGCUUCUGAUUCUACAUCUCCAUCCAUGGGCCACUGUUUCAGCAACCUCAGCCAGUGCAACACAACCUCAGCCAAGAAGAGUAUGCAGAGAAAGGAGUCCCCUACCUGCCACAAAACUGUUGUCUGAAAACUGUCUCAUAUUGUCUCAAGUUGUCAUUCAUUGUGAAUUAGACCUGUUUAACAUGUAAUCUGCAACAUGCUUCACUGUCUAAUUUUCCAGAGCCCCUCAUAUAAGGAACUGUAUUAUUGGUAUAAUCAUCAUGGUGAAGAAGUUGGUAUGUGGGGGAGAGAUGACAGAAACAGAGAGUAAGUCAGAGCUGGCUGCCUGACAGAUAAAAAGGAAAUGACCAAAAAAAAAAAAAAAGACACAGAAGAAUACUUUGUUGUCCACACAGAAAAGGGAAGUGUAGGUAAGACAGCAGUAGACUAAGAUUCUUAAGACUCAAGUUCUAGUCUUAUUUAUUAGCUAUGGGAGGCCUUGAGGGAGUUCUAGAAUUAAGUGAUCUCUCUUUAUAAAAUAGGAACAGUAAUAACUUCCUGGCUAACUCCCUGGCUGUCUCACAAUGCUGUAGUAGUAAGAAAUAAUUUUAUAAUUAAAGACUAUUUUAGGGCUGAUUACAUUUUUGGGCAGUGGCUCAUACAUGUAAUUUCAACAUUUUGGGAGGCCAAGGUGGGCGGAUUGCUUGAGCCCAGGAAUUCAAGACCAGGCUGGGCAACACAGACCUUGUCACUACAAAAGAAAAAAACAUUAGCUAGGCGUGGUGAUGUAUGCCUGUGGUCCCAGCUACUCAGGAAGCUGAGACAGGAGGAUCACCUGAGCCUGGGAGGUCGAGGCUACAGUGAGCCAUGAUCACACUACUGCACUC